rnacentral:rRNA from 1 species
AGUCGAACGAUGAUGCCCAGCUUGCUGGGCGGAUUAGUGGCGAACGGGUGAGUAAUACGUGAGUAACCUGCCCUUGACUCUGGGAUAAGCCUGGGAAACUGGGUCUAAUACUGGAUACUACCUCUUACCGCAUGGUGGGUGGUGGAAAGGGUUUUACUGGUUUUGGAUGGGCUCACGGCCUAUCAGCUUGUUGGUGGGGUAAUGGCUCACCAAGGCGACGACGGGUAGCCGGCCUGAGAGGGUGACCGGCCACACUGGGACUGAGACACGGCCCAGACUCCUACGGGAGGCAGCAGUGGGGAAUAUUGCACAAUGGGCGGAAGCCUGAUGCAGCGACGCCGCGUGAGGGAUGACGGCCUUCGGGUUGUAAACCUCUUUCAGUAGGGAAGAAGCGAGAGUGACGGUACCUGCAGAAGAAGCGCCGGCUAACUACGUGCCAGCAGCCGCGGUAAUACGUAGGGCGCAAGCGUUGUCCGGAAUUAUUGGGCGUAAAGAGCUCGUAGGCGGUUUGUCGCGUCUGCUGUGAAAGCCCGGGGCUCAACCCCGGGUCUGCAGUGGGUACGGGCAGACUAGAGUGCAGUAGGGGAGACUGGAAUUCCUGGUGUAGCGGUGAAAUGCGCAGAUAUCAGGAGGAACACCGAUGGCGAAGGCAGGUCUCUGGGCUGUUACUGACGCUGAGGAGCGAAAGCAUGGGGAGCGAACAGGAUUAGAUACCCUGGUAGUCCAUGCCGUAAACGUUGGGCACUAGG